CCCUUAGACGUUCUGGGCCGCACGCGCGCUACACUGACCAGUGCAACAAGCAUCCGUCCUUGGCCGACAGGCUCGGGCAAUCUUUGAACGCUGGUCGUAAUGGGGAUAGACUUUUGCAAUUUUUGGUCUUCAACGAGGAAUUCCUAGUAAACGCAAGUCAUCAACUUGCAUUGAUUACGUCCCUGCCCUUUGUACACACCGCCCGUCGCACCUACCGAUUGAAUGGUCCGGUGAAGCCUCCGGAUUGGCGCGCACCCCGGUGCCGCCGAGAAGUUGGCUAAACCUUACCAUUUAGAGGAAGGUGAAGUCGUANCA
rnacentral:rRNA from 1 species